UUGCAAUAAGCGGAUUCUAACAUCUUUCUAGCAUGUUAAACUUAUGCCUCAUUGCAGUUUUGACCUGCAGCUGGGCGUGGGUCCAUGCAUGAUGCGUUCAUGUACAUCAAGAUUUACAUGUGGACUCACUUGGUGCUUUGGGAUUUUAACUUUUAUAUUAAACUGUAAGAACUCCUUUUAUUGAGCCAAGCCUUUACUAAUAAUGGCUCAG
rnacentral:misc_RNA from 1 species